rnacentral:lncRNA from 1 species
GUGGCAAGGAGUGGGAGGGAAACUGCCAGAAAGAUCAAGAGCAGGCAGGCCACCUUAUAUUCCUCCUCAGGAGAUGAAGUAUCAGCUUUCAGAUUAGCAAUGGCAGCCACCAAGGCUGGGUCAAUGUCACAGCCCACACCUGCAGCAGAUGCCAGCUCAAAGAUACUCAAGGUCACCUUGAUGUCUGUGUCUGGAGUGACAAACUCCUUCAAGCACUCAAUGGGACCCAUAAGAAAUGGGCAGUGGGAGGAGAAAACCUCCCGAAGUCCCUCUUGGGCCAUGGCCCUGAAACUGAG